rnacentral:rRNA from 1 species
UACGAAGGGUGCAAACGUUGCUCGGAAUUAUUGGGCGUAAAGCGCACGUAGGCGGCUUUGUAAGUUAGAGGUGAAAGCCCGGGGCUCAACUCCGGAACUGCCUUUAAGACUGCAUCGCUUGAAUCCGGGAGAGGUGAGUGGAAUUCCGAGUGUAGAGGUGAAAUUCGUAGAUAUUCGGAAGAACACCAGUGGCGAAGGCGGCUCACUGGACCGGUAUUGACGCUGAGGUGCGAAAGCGUGGGGAGCAAACAGG